rnacentral:rRNA from 1 species
UCAAAAAAACAAUCUCAGUUCAGACUGCAGGCUGCAACUCGCCUGCACGAAGUCGGAAUUGCUAGUAAUCGUAGGUCAGCAUACUACGGUGAAUACGUUCCCGGGCCUUGUACACACCGCCCGUCAAACCAUGAGAGUUGGCAACACCCGAAGUCGGUAGUCUAACCGCAAGGAGGACGCCGCCGAAGGUGGGGUUGAUGAUUAGGGUUAAGUCGUAACAAGGUAGC